CUCGCAGGCGGUUUCUUAAGUCUGAUGUGAAAGCCCGGGGCUCCUCGGGGAGGGUCAUUGGAAACUGGGACACUUGAGUGCAGAAGAGGAGAGUGGAAUUCCACGUGUAGCGGUGAAAUGCGUAGAGAUGUGGAGGAACACCAGUGGCAAAGGCGACUCUCUGGUCUGUAACUGACGCUGAGGAGCGAAAGCGUGGGGAGCAAACAGGAUUAAAUACCCUGGUCGUCCACGCCGUAAACGAUGAGUGCUAGUUGGUGGGGGGCUUCCCCCCCUUGUUGCUGCAGCUACCGCAUUAAUCCCUCCCCCGGGGGGGUACGGCCGCGAGACUGAAACACAAAGGAAUUGAC
rnacentral:rRNA from 1 species